AGCGAACGCUGGCGGCAGGCCUAACACAUGCAAGUCGAGCGCCGUAGCAAUACGGAGCGGCAGACGGGAGAGUAACACGUGGGAACGUACCCUUUGGUUCGGUACAACCCAGGGAAACUUGGGCUAAUACCGGAUAAGCCCUCACGGGGAAAGAUUCAUCGCCGAAGGAUGGGCCCGCGUCUGAUUAGCUAGUUGGUGGGGUAAUGGCCCACCAAGGCGACGAUCAGUAGCUGGUCUGAGAGGAUGAUCAGCCUCACUGGGACUGAGACACGGCCCAGACGCCUACGGGAGGCAGCGGUGGGGAAUAUUGGAGAAUGGGCGCAAGCAUGAUCAAGCCAUGCGGCGUGGGUGAUGAAGGCCCUAGGGUUGUAAAGCCCUUUCGGCGGGGAAGAUAAUGACGGUACCCGCAGAAGAAGCCCCGGCUAACUUCGUGCCAGCCGCCGCCGUAA
rnacentral:rRNA from 1 species